UACGUAGGGGGCAAGCGUUGUCCGGAUUUAUUGGGCGUAAAGAGCGUGUAGGCGGUCAGGUAGGUCCGUUGUGAAAACUCGAGGCUCAACCUCGAGACGCCGAUGGAAACCAUCUGACUAGAGUCCGGAAGAGGAGAGUGGAAUUCCUGGUGUAGCGGUGAAAUGCGCAGAUAUCAGGAGGAACACCGGUGGCGAAGGCGGCCUGCUGGGCAGUUUUGCUGACACUGAGGCGCGACAGCGUGGGGAGCAAACAGG
rnacentral:rRNA from 1 species